rnacentral:rRNA from 1 species
AUUGAACGCUGGCGGCAUGCCUUACACAUGCAAGUCGAACGGUAACAGGUCUUCGGAUGCUGACGAGUGGCGAACGGGUGAGUAAUACAUCGGAACGUGCCCAGACGUGGGGGAUAACGAGGCGAAAGCUUUGCUAAUACCGCAUACGAUCUAAGGAUGAAAGCAGGGGACCGCAAGGCCUUGUGCGUUUGGAGCGGCCGAUGGCAGAUUAGGUAGUUGGUGGGAUAAAAGCUUACCAAGCCGACGAUCUGUAGCUGGUCUGAGAGGACGACCAGCCACACUGGGACUGAGACACGGCCCAGACACCUACGGGAGGCAGCAGUGGGGAAUUUUGGACAAUGGGCGAAAGCCUGAUCCAGCAAUGCCGCGUGCAGGAUGAAGGCCUUCGGGUUGUAAACUGCUUUUGUACGGAACGAAAAGGCUCUGGCUAAUACCUGGGGCACAUGACGGUACCGUAAGAAUAAGCACCGGCUAACUACGUG